UCAAGGGCCAGCGUUGGUUUCUCGUCUGGACUACUGUCUGCAAACUGCUGACUUACAAAAUGGUAAAAGCCUCCUAACAAUGCGUGAAUCUACAGGAUGUCAAACAGCAACUCUCAGGUGAACCACUCAGUCAGUGGAUCUGGUGUUAACCAUACAAUGCCAAAUGUCUUCUGGUGAUCUGAAGACAUCAGGGGCUUUUCUAUCAUGUAGACCAAACAUGAUUCAGAACUCCAGAGCCAGAAGGAUGAUAUCUCAACAAAUGACAGAGCCCAAUUCAUUGACUCCAAUAAGAACAACACGCGUCUAUUAUAACUUUACAAGAUGGAAAGUACAUACAGAAAAAUUUUGAAGUUUUAAGAGUUAAAUCUUAUAGUCCUAUAUGAAAGAUUGGAUCGGCAAAUUCAAAUAUUCAUAUCUUAUUGGGCUCUAUUUCCUGUAUUUUUCUCACAUGCCACUCUUUUAAAAUAGGUAUCUAUGUAUGUGUCAACAACCUUUGAAUAAGCCAGAGCAACUAGGCAAGAAAAAAAAAAAAAAGAACAGCUAAACUGGAAAGAAGGAAGUCAAAUUAUCCCUGUUUGUAGAAGACAUGGUCAUAUAUAUAGAAAAACCUAAACAUUCUACCAAAAAAACUCUUAGAAUUGAUCAACAAAUUCAGUAAAUUUUCAGGAUACAAAAUUGACAUGAAAAAUCAGUAGCAUUU
rnacentral:lncRNA from 1 species